ACCUACGGGGGGCAGCAGUGAGGAAUAUUGGUCAAUGGUCGGGAGACUGAACCAGCCAAGCCGCGUGAGGGAUGAAGGUACAGAGUAUCGUAAACCUCUUUUGUCAGGGAACAAAGGCGGGGACGUGUCCCCGGAUGAGUGUACCUGAAGAAAAAGCAUCGGCUAACUCCGUGCCAGCAGCCGCGGUAAUACGGAGGAUGCGAGCGUUAUCCGGAUUUAUUGGGUUUAAAGGGUGCGCAGGCGGUCUGUUAAGUCAGCGGUCAAAGCCCGGGGCUCAACCCCGGCCCGCCCUUGAAACUGGCAGG
rnacentral:rRNA from 1 species